GAUGAACGCUGGCGGCGUGCUUAACACAUGCAAGUCGAACGGUGAAGCAGGAGCUUGCUCCUGUGGAUCAGUGGCGAACGGGUGAGUAACACGUGAGCAAUCUGCCCUGGACUCUGGGAUAAGCGUUGGAAACGACGUCUAAUACCGGAUACGAGGCGUGGGGGCAUCCCCAACGCCUGGAAAGAACUUCGGUCCAGGAUGAGCUCGCGGCCUAUCAGGUAGUUGGUGAGGUAACGGCUCACCAAGCCUACGACGGGUAGCCGGCCUAAGGGGGUGACCGGCCACACUGGGACUGAGACACGGCCCAGACUCCUACGGGAGGCAGCAGUGGGGAAUAUUGCACAAUGGGCGCAAGCCUGAUGCAGCAACGCCGCGUGAGGGACGACGGCCUUCGGGUUGUAAACCUCUUUUAGCAGGGAAGAAGCGAAAGUGACGGUACCUGCAGAAAAAGCACCGGCUAACUACGUGCCAGCAGCCGCGGUAACAC
rnacentral:rRNA from 1 species